rnacentral:rRNA from 1 species
UACGUAGGGGGCAAGCGUUGUCCGGAAUUAUUGGGCGUAAAGAGCUCGUAGGCGGUCUGUCGCGUCGGCUGUGAAAACCCGGGGCUCAACCCCGGGCCUGCAGUCGAUACGGGCAGACUAGAGUGUGGUAGGGGAGACUGGAAUUCCUGGUGUAGCGGUGAAAUGCGCAGAUAUCAGGAGGAACACCGGUGGCGAAGGCGGGUCUCUGGGCCAUAACUGACGCUGAGGAGCGAAAGCGUGGGGAGCGAACAGG